rnacentral:rRNA from 1 species
GGGUUGUGAGGUUAAGCGACUAAGCGUACACGGUGGAUGCCCUGGCAGUCAGAGGCGAUGAAGGGCGUGCUAAUCUGCGAUAAGCGCCGGUAAGGUGAUAUGAACCGUUAUAACCGGCGAUACCCGAAUGGGGAAACCCAGUGUGACUCGUCACACUAUCAUUAACUGAAUCCAUAGGUUAAUGAGGCGAACCGGGGGAACUGAAACAUCUAAGUACCCCGAGGAAAAGAAAUCAACCGAGAUUCCCCCAGUAGCGGCGAGCGAACGGGGAGGAGCCCAGAGCCUGAAUCAGCAUGUGUGUUAGUGGAAGCGUCUGGAAAGGCGCGCGAUACAGGGUGACAGCCCCGUACACAAAAGCGCAUGUGCUGUGAGCUCGAUGAGUAGGGCGGGACACGUGGUAUCCUGUCUGAAUAUGGGGGGACCAUCCUCCAAGGCUAAAUACUCCUGACUGACCGAUAGUGAACCAGUACCGUGAGGGAAAGGCGAAAAGAACCCCGGCGAGGGGAGUGAAAAAGAACCUGAAACCGUGUACGUACAAGCAGUGGGAGCCCCACCACUAAGCCAGUGGUGAACUCCACAUACGCAUCCUUUGCUGAGGAUGCGGUUAACGGAGCGAAAGCGACGUUCAACCGCAAAAGAAGCAGAGGGGGCUUAGUGGUGGGGUGACUGCGUACCUUUUGUAUAAUGGGUCAGCGACUUAUAUUCUGUAGCAAGGUUAACCGAAUAGGGGAGCCGGAGGGAAACCGAGUCUUAAUUGGGCGUUAAGUUGCAGGGUAUAGACCCGAAACCCGGUGAUCUAGCCAUGGGCAGGUUGAAGGUUGGGUAACACUAACUGGAGGACCGAACCGACUAAUGUUGAAAAAUUAGCGGAUGACCUGUGGCUGGGGGUGAAAGGCCAAUCAAACCGGGAGAUAGCUGGUUCUCCCCGAAAGCUAUUUAGGUAGCGCCUCGUGAAUUCAUCUCCGGGGGUAGAGCACUGUUUCGGCUAGGGGGCCAUCCCGGCUUACCAACCCGAUGCAAACUGCGAAUACCGGAGAAUGUUAUCACGGGAGACACACGGCGGGUGCUAACGUCCGUCGUGAAGAGGGAAACAACCCAGACCGCCAGCUAAGGUCCCAAAGUCAUGGUUAAGUGGGAAACGAUGUGGGAAGGCCCAGACAGCCAGGAUGUUGGCUUAGAAGCAGCCAUCAUUUAAAGAAAGCGUAAUAGCUCACUGGUCGAGUCGGCCUGCGCGGAAGAUGUAACGGGGCUAAACCAUGCACCGAAGCUGCGGCAGCGACACUAUGUGUUGUUGGGUAGGGGAGCGUUCUGUAAGCCUGUGAAGGUGGCCUGUGAGGGUUGCUGGAGGUAUCAGAAGUGCGAAUGCUGACAUAAGUAACGAUAAAGCGGGUGAAAAGCCCGCUCGCCGGAAGACCAAGGGUUCCUGUCCAACGUUAAUCGGGGCAGGGUGAGUCGACCCCUAAGGCGAGGCCGAAAGGCGUAGUCGAUGGGAAACGGGUUAAUAUUCCCGUACUUGGUGUUACUGCGAAGGGGGGACGGAGAAGGCUAUGUUGGCCGGGCGACGGUUGUCCCGGUUUAAGCGUGUAGGCUGGUUUUCCAGGCAAAUCCGGAAAAUCAAGGCUGAGGCGUGACGACGAGGCACUACGGUGCUGAAGCAACAAAUGCCCUGCUUCCAGGAAAAGCCUCUAAGCAUCAGGUAACAUCAAAUCGUACCCCAAACCGACACAGGUGGUCAGGUAGAGAAUACCAAGGCGCUUGAGAGAACUCGGGUGAAGGAACUAGGCAAAAUGGUGCCGUAACUUCGGGAGAAGGCACGCUGACACGUAGGUGAAGUGAUUUACUCAUGGAGCUGAAGUCAGUCGAAGAUACCAGCUGGCUGCAACUGUUUAUUAAAAACACAGCACUGUGCAAACACGAAAGUGGACGUAUACGGUGUGACGCCUGCCCGGUGCCGGAAGGUUAAUUGAUGGGGUCAGCGCAAGCGAAGCUCCUGAUCGAAGCCCCGGUAAACGGCGGCCGUAACUAUAACGGUCCUAAGGUAGCGAAAUUCCUUGUCGGGUAAGUUCCGACCUGCACGAAUGGCGUAAUGAUGGCCAGGCUGUCUCCACCCGAGACUCAGUGAAAUUGAACUCGCUGUGAAGAUGCAGUGUACCCGCGGCAAGACGGAAAGACCCCGUGAACCUUUACUAUAGCUUGACACUGAACAUUGAGCCUUGAUGUGUAGGAUAGGUGGGAGGCUUUGAAGUGUGGACGCCAGUCUGCAUGGAGCCGACCUUGAAAUACCACCCUUUAAUGUUUGAUGUUCUAACGUGGACCCGUGAUCCGGGUUGCGGACAGUGUCUGGUGGGUAGUUUGACUGGGGCGGUCUCCUCCUAAAGAGUAACGGAGGAGCACGAAGGUUGGCUAAUCCUGGUCGGACAUCAGGAGGUUAGUGCAAUGGCAUAAGCCAGCUUGACUGCGAGCGUGACGGCGCGAGCAGGUGCGAAAGCAGGUCAUAGUGAUCCGGUGGUUCUGAAUGGAAGGGCCAUCGCUCAACGGAUAAAAGGUACUCCGGGGAUAACAGGCUGAUACCGCCCAAGAGUUCAUAUCGACGGCGGUGUUUGGCACCUCGAUGUCGGCUCAUCACAUCCUGGGGCUGAAGUAGGUCCCAAGGGUAUGGCUGUUCGCCAUUUAAAGUGGUACGCGAGCUGGGUUUAGAACGUCGUGAGACAGUUCGGUCCCUAUCUGCCGUGGGCGCUGGAGAACUGAGGGGGGCUGCUCCUAGUACGAGAGGACCGGAGUGGACGCAUCACUGGUGUUCGGGUUGUCAUGCCAAUGGCACUGCCCGGUAGCUAAAUGCGGAAGAGAUAAGUGCUGAAAGCAUCUAAGCACGAAACUUGCCCCGAGAUGAGUUCUCCCUGAGACUUAGAGUCUCCUGAAGGAACGUUGAAGACGACGACGUUGAUAGGCCGGGUGUGUAAGCGCAGCGAUGCGUUGAGCUAACCGGUACUAAUGAACCGUGAGGCUUAACCUUACAACGCCGAAG